rnacentral:rRNA from 1 species
UACGAAAAAAGCAAAUGUUGUUCGGAAUCACUGGGCGUAAAGGGAGCGUAGGCGGGUUUUUAAGUUAGGUGUUUAAUCCCGGGACCCAGCCCCGGACCGGCACUUAAAACUGGGAAUCUUGAAUAGUGGAGAGGUCGGUGGAAUUGGGGGUGUAGCGGUGGAAUGCGUAGAGAUCCCCAAGAACACCAGUUGCGAAGGCGGCCGACUGGACACAUAUUGACGCUGAGGCUCGAAAGCAUGGGGAGCAAACAGG